rnacentral:sRNA from 1 species
CAGGGUUCAAAGGUCAGGCUUUAUCUGCUUGCAGAAUAGAGCCUGAAGUUGGAACCCGCCUAAAACAUGAGCAUGGAGCUCGGCAGAGCGGAAUGCGAAUGUUUUUCUGAAUUGCGGGAGCCCGAAGGGCGGAGUAAUUCA